GUGCCAGUAGCUCAACCGGAUAGAGCACCAGCCUUCUAAGCUGGGGGUUACUGGUUCGUUCUGUCGGGCACG
rnacentral:tRNA from 1 species